rnacentral:rRNA from 1 species
CCCUUAGAUGUUCUGGGCCGCACGCGUGCUACACUGAGUGGAUCAGCGGGUCAGGUUACGCGAGGGCGUUUCCUAAUCUUCAAAUCCGCUCGUGAUGGGGAUUGACGGUUGCAAUUUUCCGUCAUGAACGAGGAAUACCUUGUAAGCGCGGGUCAUCAUCCCGCGCUGAAUACGUCCCUGCCCUUUGUACACACCGCCCGUCGCUCCUACCGAUUGAGUGGUCCGGUGAGGCUUUGGGAUCUAAGCGAAAAGAGCGUUUCGCUCCUUUUGCUGGGAGAACUCAGUCGAACCUUAUCAUUUAGAGGAAGGAGAAGUCGUAACA